GACGAACGCUGGCGGCGUGCUUAACACAUGCAAGUCGAACGGAAAGGCCUCUUUCGGGGGGUACUCGAGUGGCGAACGGGUGAGUAACACGUGAGUAACCUGCCCUUGACUUUGGGAUAACUUCAGGAAACUGGGGCUAAUACCGGAUAGGAGCUCCUGCUGCAUGGUGGGGGUUGGAAAGUUUCGGCGGUUGGGGAUGGACUCGCGGCUUAUCAGCUUGUUGGUGGGGUAGUGGCUUACCAAGGCUUUGACGGGUAGCCGGCCUGAGAGAGUGACCGGCCACAUUGGGACUGAGAGACGGCCCAGACUCCGACGGGAGGCAGCAGUGGGGAAUAUUGCACAAUGGGUGGAAGCCUGAUGCAGCAACGCCGUGUGCGGGAUGACGGCCUUCGGGUUGUAAACCGCUUUCGCUCAUGACGAAGCUUUGUGUGACGGUAGUGGGUAAAGAAGCACCGGCUAACUACGUG
rnacentral:rRNA from 1 species